rnacentral:rRNA from 1 species
CAGGGAGGACAGGUGGUGGCAUGGUUGUCGUCAGCUCGUGUCGUGAGAUGUUGGUUAAGUCCCGCAACGAGCGCAACCCCUACGUUUAGUUGCUAACGCGUGAAGGCGAGCACUCUAGACGAACUGCCGUUGACAAAACGGAGGAAGGUGGGGAUGACGUCAAAUCAUCAUGCCCCUUAUGUUCUGGGCUACACACGUGCUACAAUGGCCGGUACAGACGGACGCAAAGCCGCGAGGUGGAGCAAAUCCUAAAAAGCCGGUCUCAGUUCGGAUUGCAGGCUGCAAUUCGCCUGCAUGAAGUCGGAAUCGCUAGUAAUCGCAGGUCAGCAUACUGCGGUGGAUACGUUCCCGGGCCUU